UUAAGCGACUAAGCGUACACGGUGGAUGCCCUGGCAGUCAGAGGCGAUGAAGGACGUGCUAAUCUGCGAUAAGCGUCGGUAAGGUGAUAUGAACCGUUAUAACCGGCGAUUUCCGAAUGGGGAAACCCAGUGUGAUUCGUCACACUAUCAUUAACUGAAUCCAUAGGUUAAUGAGGCGAACCGGGGGAACUGAAACAUCUAAGUACCCCGAGGAAAAGAAAUCAACCGAGAUUCCCCCAGUAGCGGCGAGCGAACGGGGAGCAGCCCAGAGCCUGAAUCAGUGUGUGUGUUAGUGGAAGCGUCUGGAAAGGCGCGCGAUACAGGGUGACAGCCCCGUACACAAAAAUGCACAUGCUGUGAGCUCGAUGAGUAGGGCGGGACACGUGGUAUCCUGUCUGAAUAUGGGGGGACCAUCCUCCAAGGCUAAAUACUCCUGACUGACCGAUAGUGAACCAGUACCGUGAGGGAAAGGCGAAAAGAACCCCGGCGAGGGGAGUGAAAAAGAACCUGAAACCGUGUACGUACAAGCAGUGGGAGCACAGAGCAAUCUGUGUGACUGCGUACCUUUUGUAUAAUGGGUCAGCGACUUAUAUUCUGUAGCAAGGUUAACCGAAUAGGGGAGCCGAAGGGAAACCGAGUCUUAACUGGGCGUUAAGUUGCAGGGUAUAGACCCGAAACCCGGUGAUCUAGCCAUGGGCAGGUUGAAGGUUGGGUAACACUAACUGGAGGACCGAACCGACUAAUGUUGAAAAAUUAGCGGAUGACUUGUGGCUGGGGGUGAAAGGCCAAUCAAACCGGGAGAUAGCUGGUUCUCCCCGAAAGCUAUUUAGGUAGCGCCUCGUGAAUUCAUCUCCGGGGGUAGAGCGCUGUUUCGGCAAGGGGGUCAUCCCGACUUACCAACCCGAUGCAAACUGCGAAUACCGGAGAAUGUUAUCACGGGAGACACACGGCGGGUGCUAACGUCCGUCGUGAAGAGGGAAACAACCCAGACCGCCAGCUAAGGUCCCAAAGUCAUGGUUAAGUGGGAAACGAUGUGGGAAGGCCCAGACAGCCAGGAUGUUGGCUUAGAAGCAGCCAUCAUUUAAAGAAAGCGUAAUAGCUCACUGGUCGAGUCGGCCUGCGCGGAAGAUGUAACGGGGCUAAACCAUGCACCGAAGCUGCGGCAGCGACGCUUAUGCGUUGUUGGGUAGGGGAGCGUUCUGUAAGCCUGCGAAGGUGUGCUGUGAGGCAUGCUGGAGGUAUCAGAAGUGCGAAUGCUGACAUAAGUAACGAUAAAGCGGGUGAAAAGCCCGCUCGCCGGAAGACCAAGGGUUCCUGUCCAACGUUAAUCGGGGCAGGGUGAGUCGACCCCUAAGGCGAGGCCGAAAGGCGUAGUCGAUGGGAAACAGGUUAAUAUUCCUGUACUUGGUGUUACUGCGAAGGGGGGACGGAGAAGGCUAUGUUGGCCGGGCGACGGUUGUCCCGGUUUAAGCGUGUAGGCUGGUUUUCCAGGCAAAUCCGGAAAAUCAAGGCUGAGGCGUGAUGACGAGGCACUACGGUGCUGAAGCAACAAAUGCCCUGCUUCCAGGAAAAGCCUCUAAGCAUCAGGUAACAUCAAAUCGUACCCCAAACCGACACAGGUGGUCAGGUAGAGAAUACCAAGGCGCUUGAGAGAACUCGGGUGAAGGAACUAGGCAAAAUGGUGCCGUAACUUCGGGAGAAGGCACGCUGAUAUGUAGGUGAAGUCCCUCGCGGAUGGAGCUGAAAUCAGUCGAAGAUACCAGCUGGCUGCAACUGUUUAUUAAAAACACAGCACUGUGCAAACACGAAAGUGGACGUAUACGGUGUGACGCCUGCCCGGUGCCGGAAGGUUAAUUGAUGGGGUUAGCGCAAGCGAAGCUCUUGAUCGAAGCCCCGGUAAACGGCGGCCGUAACUAUAACGGUCCUAAGGUAGCGAAAUUCCUUGUCGGGUAAGUUCCGACCUGCACGAAUGGCGUAAUGAUGGCCAGGCUGUCUCCACCCGAGACUCAGUGAAAUUGAACUCGCUGUGAAGAUGCAGUGUACCCGCGGCAAGACGGAAAGACCCCGUGAACCUUUACUAUAGCUUGACACUGAACAUUGAGCCUUGAUGUGUAGGAUAGGUGGGAGGCUUUGAAGUGUGGACGCCAGUCUGCAUGGAGCCGACCUUGAAAUACCACCCUUUAAUGUUUGAUGUUCUAACGUUGACCCGUAAUCCGGGUUGCGGACAGUGUCUGGUGGGUAGUUUGACUGGGGCGGUCUCCUCCUAAAGAGUAACGGAGGAGCACGAAGGUUGGCUAAUCCUGGUCGGACAUCAGGAGGUUAGUGCUAAUGGCAUAAGCCAGCUUGACUGCGAGCGUGACGGCGCGAGCAGGUGCGAAAGCAGGUCAUAGUGAUCCGGUGGUUCUGAAUGGAAGGGCCAUCGCUCAACGGAUAAAAGGUACUCCGGGGAUAACAGGCUGAUACCGCCCAAGAGUUCAUAUCGACGGCGGUGUUUGGCACCUCGAUGUCGGCUCAUCACAUCCUGGGGCUGAAGUAGGUCCCAAGGGUAUGGCUGUUCGCCAUUUAAAGUGGUACGCGAGCUGGGUUUAGAACGUCGUGAGACAGUUCGGUCCCUAUCUGCCGUGGGCGCUGGAGAAUUGAGGGGGGCUGCUCCUAGUACGAGAGGACCGGAGUGGACGCAUCACUGGUGUUCGGGUUGUCAUGCCAAUGGCACUGCCCGGUAGCUAAAUGCGGAAGAGAUAAGUGCUGAAAGCAUCUAAGCACGAAACUUGCCCCGAGAUGAGUUCUCCCUGACUCCUUGAGAGUCCUGAAGGAACGUUGAAGACGACGACGUUGAUAGGCCGGGUGUGUAAGCGCAGCGAUGCGUUGAGCUAACCGGUACUAAUGAACCGUGAGGCUUAACCUU
rnacentral:rRNA from 1 species